ACACUCAUGGUGAAGCGGUUAUCAUGCUUGCCUUCCAGGCAAAACAGAAAUGUUGUAACCGCGGCAGCAAGCGGCAGGGGUUCGACUCCCCUUGAGUGUA